GACGUAGGGCGCGAGCGUUGUCCGGAUUUAUUGGGCGUAAAGAGCUCGUAGGCGGCUUGUCGCGUCGUUCGUGAAAACCCGGGGCUCAACUCCGGGCUUGCGGGCGAUACGGGCAGGCUAGAGUUCGGUAGGGGAGACUGGAAUUCCUGGUGUAGCGGUGAAAUGCGCAGAUAUCAGGAGGAACACCGGUGGCGAAGGCGGCUCUCUGGGACGAUACUGACGCUGAGGAGCGAAAGCGUGGGGAGCGAACAGG
rnacentral:rRNA from 1 species